rnacentral:tRNA from 1 species
UUUAAAUAGUUUAAAUAAAACGUUAAUUUGUGGAAUUAAAGAUAUAGGAAUAUUUUAGAUAA